UACAGAGGGUGCAAGCGUUGUCCGGAAUCACUGGGCGUAAAGGGCGCGUAGGUGGCCUGAUAAGUAGGAGGUGAAAUCCUGGGGCUUAACCUCAGGGCUGCCUUCUAGACUGUCCGGCUCGAGCACAGUAGAGGCAGGUGGAAUUCCCGGUGUAGCGGUGGAAUGCGUAGAGAUCGGGAAGAACAUCGGUGGCGAAGGCGGCCUGCUGGGCAGUGGCUGACGCUGAGGCGCGACAGCGUGGGGAGCAAACAGG
rnacentral:rRNA from 1 species